GAAUCGACCGGGUCGACGGCGCGGGUCACCACGAGGUAGUCGCGCAGGACGAUCGCGUGACGGUUGUC
rnacentral:sRNA from 1 species